UCUACCCCUAAUCAGGUUGCCCAGCCACCUCCUCCUUGAGGCCCUUUUAGGGAGGAGAGUAGGGAGCGGCACGAAUGGGGGAGGGUCUCCUGUACAGGUCCCGGGCACGAAGCAGGAGCCCUGAGUGUCCCCAGCGCCAUGCACCGCUGCUACAGGCCUUCUCGUGCCGCUCUAGCCUCACUGUCCGUAGGUAAUAAAUGAGGGUCUCAGCCAGCCCCCUGCCCCCUCCAAGUGUGUGUCUGUGGCACCUGGCAGGUGUUGCGGGGGAUCACCGGGGGAGGGGCAGGGCGCCUCACCUGCUCGGAGCAGCUCCCGGUCCACACCCAGAGGGUUGCCCGCAAUGGCCCCGCUGCAGGAACAGGGGAUCCCAGAGCUCUGGCCCCGCUCUGGCAUCCUUGCUAGCCCGGUCAGCCCCAUCUCCGAGACCGCCGCGGGUCUGCGCGGAAGAACCCCAGACGGAGAGGCCUGUCACCUGGCCGGCUGCCUCCUCUGUCCUUCCUAGCACCUCCUCUUCCGUUGAUCCCCAAGGACCAGCUAACCAAGUGGGACAGCCCCCCACCCCGCCCCGCCACGAGGCCCUCGGGACACUGGGGGCUGACUCACCUCCCCAGGGGCAGGACGUUGACCCGCUUCUGGACCUCCAACAGCCUCUCCGAGUCUCUGGUCAGCGCCACGGCAUGGCUGUAGGAAGCCAGAGGGCAGAGGUCAGGGCCUCCGGGGCCCUCCCCUCUGUCACAGCCCCUCCACAACACCCCUGCACGAUGCCCUGCCCGACUCGCCUCAGUAUCCAGUGGCUCCAGCGGAUGGGCUGAGCCCUUUGCAGGCCCCAGCGGGGAAGAGCGAGGCCAGCCUUGCAAGGACCUGCCUGCGCAAGAAACCAAGCGACCUCCUGGGGACAAACACAUCCUAAAGGAAGAGACCAGAAGCGGGGCAGCGUGACCCAGGGACGGGGCCAGGGCCCGGGGCCUCCCCAGAGCAGGAUGGGAGCCGGGACGCGAGGCAGUGCCGUCCUCAGCUCUAAGCAGAGGUGACAGGGAAGGAGGGGACGCCGAGGGGUACUACUUGGCGGGGGAGUUGCCAUCUGUGAGCCCGUGAGACGCACCCAAGGACCUCAGAAGAGCAGGGGGCACUUUCAAAGAGACAAGGUGCUGCAGGUGAUGGUUUUGGUUUGUUUGUUUUAAUAAACAGCUUUACUGAGA